rnacentral:rRNA from 1 species
CUAAGAAUAUUCCGCAAUGGACGGAAGUCUGACGGAGCGACGCCGCGUGGAUGAAGAAGGCCGAAAGGUUGUAAAGUUCUUUUGCUAGGGGAGAAUAAGUGAGGGAGGGAAUGCCCUCAUGAUGACAAGGACUAGCGAAUAAGCCCCGGCCAACUACGUGCCAGCAGCCGCGGUAACAAGUAGGGGGCGCGCGGUGUUCGGAAUUACUGGGCGUAAAGGGCAUGUAGGCGGCUUGGUAAGCCUGGCGUGAAAGACUGCAGCUUAACUGUAGGGAU